rnacentral:rRNA from 1 species
UUUCCGUAGGUGAACCUGCGGAAGGAUCAUUACUGAAGAUUAUAGAGUCUGAGACUGCGCUCAACAAGCGUGUGCUCGGCUCUUACUCUUUAUCCACACACACCUUUGUGCACUAUGGGGACCGUUAAAAAGUCCCCCUUUUCAUAUAAAAACCAGGUUAUAAUGCAUGGCUUUAUACUACUCUACGGAGUAAUAAUAAAAAAACAACUUUCAACAACGGAUCUCUUGGCUUUCGCAUCGAUGAAGAACGCAGCGAACGUGCGAAACGUAAUGUGAAUUGCAGAAUUCAGUGAAUCAUCGAAUCUUUGAACGCAUCUUGCGCUCCUUGGCAUUCCGAGGAGCAUGCCUGUUUGAGUGUCGUGAAUACUCUCAACUUCAAUCUUUGUUGAUUUGAAGUUGGAUGUGGAUGUUGUUGUGUUAAUGCGACUCAUCCUAAAUGCAUUAGCGAUCUGCCUUGGAUCACACAAUGUGAUAAGCAAAAGCAUUGUUGGACUCAAGUCAAAGGGUUGCUUCCAACCGUCGAAAGACAAGAGCAUAUAUAUGUCAUUUGACCUCAAAUCAGGUAGGACUACCCGCUGAACUUAAGCA